GAUGAACGCUGGCGGCGUGCUUAACACAUGCAAGUCGAGGGGCAGCGGGGGAGUAGCAAUACUCCCGCCGGCGACCGGCGCACGGGUGAGUAACACGUAUGAAACCUGCCCGUAGCAGGGGGAUAAGCGGAAGAAAUUCCGUCUAAUACCGCGUAACAACCCUUGGAGGCAUCUCCCCGGGGUUUAAAGGAAGCGAUUCCGGCUACGGAUGGUCAUGCGUCGCAUUAGCUAGUUGGCGGGGUAACGGCCCACCAAGGCGACGAUGCGUAGGGGUUCUGAGAGGAAGGUCCCCCACACUGGUACUGAGACACGGACCAG
rnacentral:rRNA from 1 species